rnacentral:rRNA from 1 species
AGUGAACGCUGGCGGUAGGCCUAACACAUGCAAGUCGAACGGCAGCACAGUAAGAGCUUGCUCUUACGGGUGGCGAGUGGCGGACGGGUGAGGAAUACAUCGGAAUCUACUUUUUCGUGGGGGAUAACGUAGGGAAACUUACGCUAAUACCGCAUACGACCUACGGGUGAAAGCAGGGGAUCUUCGGACCUUGCGCGAUUGAAUGAGCCGAUGUCGGAUUAGCUAGUUGGCGGGGUAAAGGCCCACCAAGGCGACGAUCCGUAGCUGGCCUGAGAGGAUGAUCAGCCACACUGGAACUGAGACACGGUCCAGACUCCUACGGGAGGCAGCAGUGGGGAAUAUUGGACAAUGGGCGCAAGCCUGAUCCAGCCAUACCGCGUGGGUGAAGAAGGCCUUCGGGUUGUAAAGCCCUUUUGUUGGGAAAGAAAAGCAGCAGGUUAAUACCCCGCUGUUCUGACGGUACCCAAAGAAUAAGCACCAGCUAACUUCGUG